rnacentral:rRNA from 1 species
GACGAACGCUGGCGGCGUGCUUAACACAUGCAAGUCGAGCGGAUGAGGGAAGCUUGCUUCCCGAUUUAGCGGCGGACGGGUGAGUAAUGCCUAGGAAUCUGCCUAUUAGUGGGGGAUAACGUUCCGAAAGGAACGCUAAUACCGCAUACGUCCUACGGGAGAAAGUGGGGGAUCUUCGGACCUCACGCUAAUAGAUGAGCCUAGGUCGGAUUAGCUAGUUGGUGGGGUAACGGCUCACCAAGGCGACGAUCCGUAGCUGGUCUGAGAGGAUGAUCAGCCACACUGGAACUGAGACACGGUCCAGACUCCUACGGGAGGCAGCAGUGUGGAAUAUUGGACAAUGGGCGAAAGCCUGAUCCAGCCAUGCCGCGUGUGUGAGGAAGGUCUUCGGAUUGUAAAGCACUUUAAGUUGGGAGGAAGGGCUGUAAGCUAAUAUCUUGCAGCUUUGACGUUACCAACAGAAUAAGCACCGGCUAACUCUGUGCCAGCCGCCGCAGUAAGAC